CCAGAGCCGGAUUAAAUAAAUGGACUACACUAGGCAGGCUGCAUUUUUUGGGCCCCCCCAUCGAGGUUAUUUAUAAAUUGAAAUCUGAAACUUACCAAAGUUACUAAUAAAAGUGAAUUCACAUUUUACAUAGCCUAGUCUUUGCUUACAAAUUGGUUGUUUGUAUACCAAAUUAAGUCAUGUGUUGUAUAUUAACCAGUCUAUCAGACAAUUUUUUGCUAAAUGUAUUAUUUAUACGUCAUUACACGGCUCUAUUAAAUGCUAUUAAAUUAUCCUCACCUUAUCCAUUGGGAGUGUCAUUGUUAAGGCAGUAGUACCAGUAAAUAACCAAUAGGUGUCAGUAAUCCGCGGGAGAGCUUCGCUGCAUAUUUCUCUUCAAGAUUGAGAAUCGCAACGAAAUCCUCGUCGAGCAACACGUCCACUGAGCAACCAUGUCUGUGUCCUUAAAGGAACUCUGUCAGGUACAGAUUAGAACUAUGAACUUGAAAAUCAACCAUUCUGAUGACUGGCGUCCCCAUCCGAGUCACCACCUCAGACAACAACAGUCAUAAACUCACAAACACAAAUACACUCAGUAAUGCGCUUAAUAAAGAAAGACUUAACUAUGA